rnacentral:rRNA from 1 species
AAUAGAUACCCGGGUAGUCCACGCCGUAAACGAUGAGUGCUAAGUGUUAGAGGGUUUCCGCCCUUUAGUGCUGCAGCUAACGCAUUAAGCACUCCGCCUGGGGAGUACGGCCGCAAGGCUGAAACUCAAAGGAAUUGACGGGGGCCCGCACAAGCGGUGGAGCAUGUGGUUUAAUUCGAAGCAACGCGAAGAACCUUACCAGGUCUUGACAUCCUCUGCCAACCCUAGAGAUAGGGCGUUCCCCUUCGGGGGACAGAGUGACAGGUGGUGCAUGGUUGUCGUCAGCUCGUGUCGUGAGAUGUUGGGUUAAGUCCCGCAACGAGCGCAACCCUUGAUCUUAGUUGCCAGCAUUCAGUUGGGCACUCUAAGGUGACUGCCGGUGACAAACCGGAGGAAGGUGGGGAUGACGUCAAAUCAUCAUGCCCCUUAUGACCUGGGCUACACACGUGCUACAAUGGAUGGUACAAAGAGCUGCGAACCCGCGAGGGUAAGCGAAUCUCAUAAAGCCGUUCUCAGUUCGGAUUGUAGG